CAUUAAGCCAAAUGAACUUGCCUGGUCUGAAUUAAUUGGCGUUUUAUUUACGUACAAAGAGACCCGAAAUCCGGGUACAUUAGCACAUUUGACCUUGAACCGUGAUCCAGCAAAGAACAUAUUUGUUAACCUAAUGUGCCACACUUCAGGCUUGUACAAAAAGUUGACAAAAUUUUGUGAGUAAAAUAGACAAAUCAUCUCGAAUUAAUUGGAUAAGAUGGCUCACAACUCUCCAUUUACUAAGGACCAAGUGGCCGAAGCGUUCAAGAAAAUGCCGACUUUUUCCGAUGACGCGAUCGAUGUCGCGGACAUGGAGCCUUUUCUGAAAGCGUUAGGCUUUGACUGCAAUAAAGAACAGAGGGACGCAUACGUCACAUUUUUUCGCGAAGUUUACAACGGAAAACUUCCCUUAGAAGUUUGCACAACUAGUUUGGCCGCGGUUAAUGACACGAUCGAAAUAUUGAAAGUGUUCGUCAAGGCGAUGGACAAGGACAAGGACGGAUUUAUUGACGAGUCCGAAUUCAAGGCGAUCUUCCCAUUUUUGCUGACACAUGACCCAUCCUUUCCAAGAGUAGAGUUUGCCAAUUUUGUUACGGAAGCGGAUACAAAUAAGGAUGGGAAAGUCAGUAUUGACGAAGCUGUGGAAUGGUUUUGCAAAAAUGCGAAAAAUUAGAAAAAUAAUCUACUUGUUUGAAUUGUGUGUGCCUACACUCUUAGAAAUUCAGUAUGCAAAUAAUACCAAGAGGUAUUCAAAUAAAUGAGUAUAAUUUUAAUUAAACGGUAUGGAUAAGUAAUAGGUACCUGAGUUACUAAAUAUAUAGAUAUACCAAAUUUCUGACAGUGUACAUACAUACAUAGGUUUGCAGAUAUCAAAUUAUUAUUGUUGUAGAAUUUCCGCUAAAUUUUUAGCAUGAAUUUUUCUCUUAAAUUAAAACCUACAUUUGUAUGCUUUUUAAUCUGUUGGGCAUACUCACUUCAACGUCUCACAUUAUUCGCGUCACUUCUUAAAGUACAACCCGGUUCAAGAAGCAACAUCUCAGUUUGCUGGGUAAAUUUGUGGACAAAAAAUUCUUUCCUUGUAAAAUGUUUUGUGAAAUUUCUAUAAUUUGUAAGGUUAAUUUACAUGAUUUGCGAGAUAUGUAUGCUAAUAUGCAGACUUGUGCGUGAGUAUGCCCAAAGUAAGUACAUAAGUAUAUAAUCUUCUCUUCUGGCCUUCCAAUGCUACUGAAUUUGGUCGUACAUCUCAAUUUGCUGAUAAUGAAUACGUAAGUAUGUACUUUGAUAAAGUUGUCCAUCCUGACAUGUGUAUGCAUAUUGAAUUACAUAUAAUCAAAUCUUAUGGGAUUCACGUUGGGUAAAAUUAUACAUACAUACAUAUCUAUCUAUACAUAUGUAUAUGUAUGUAUGUACUUAUGUAUUUAUAUAUCAGGUUUGCAAUUGAAGCAAAAAUUAUCCAACAACUUUAGGCUGGAUUAAAAUAAGAAUGUUUUUAUUUUGUUUUAUCACGUUAAUUUAUUCCUUCGGAUUGUCUGAACUGAAAUAAUAUCAGAAACUUAUGCAAUUCAUUAGCAAAUUACUCAAACCGGACGAGACCAGUCUACAUAAUAAAAAUGCACUCAAGGCUGCUCGCAUAAAUAUUUACAUAAAUAUUUUUUCUAAUGUCUGACAAUGUUGCGCCAUAAAUAUACAUAUGUUGAGAGAUUCCAGUCUGGUAAAUAAUUGAGGUUUGGCAAAGAGUAAUCUCUUGCAUAACUGUCUGUGUACCCAUUAACCCAAGAAAACUGGAUUUUGACGAAGUUCAUGGUAUUUAAUUCGCACAAAUACCACCCCAUGUGCGCAUUUGAGCUUAAACCGUGCUCUAACAAAGAACGUGUUGACCUAGGCUAGCUAUUUACAAAUUCUAAAGCCUUGUAGUAUUCUUUCAUAGGACAGAUUAAGGAAGGCACAAAAGCUUAAUCGAAGCGGAUAAGAUGGCUCACAACCGGCGUUACACUAAAGACGAGGUGGAAGCUGCUUUCCACAAAAUGCCGACAUUUUCCUACGACUCUAUCGACGUGGCUGACAUGGACGCCUUCCUGGCCACGUUGGGCUAUGACUGCACCCAGGAACAGAUGGAUGCCUACGUCAAAUUUAUUAGCGAAAUGCAUAACGGCAAAUUGACCUUUGACCUGUGCAUCCCUGCCCUCGGAGUGAUUAACGACAUGAAGGAAUUCGUCCGAGUUCAUGUCACCGCAGUCGACAAGGAUCACGACGGAUUUAUUGAUGAAUCCGAAUUCAAAGAGAUUUUAUCCUUUUUGCUCAAACACGACCCUUCCUAUCCAAGAAUUGAGUUUGACGAUUUUCUCAAAGAAGUCGAUACAACUAAGGAUAGAAUAGUAAGCGUGGACGAGGCUGUGGAGUGGUUUUGCAAAAAUGCGAAAAACUAAGGAACUAAUCGGCUAUUAAUAAUUGCAUGAUUGAAUUGUAUUUUUUUAAAGAAUAUACCUAGUUUCGGAGAAAUUAUUGUUGUCGAAUUGAUAUGAAAUUUUGAUUUUGAUCAAAAAUAAAAGCAUGCACACCAACUCCAAAC